CUUGGUCAUUUAGAGGAAGUAAAAGUCGUAACAAGGUUUCCGUAGGUGAACCUGCGGAAGGAUCAUUACCUAGAGUUGUAGGCUUUGCCUGCUAUCUCUUACCCAUGUCUUUUGAGUACCUUCGUUUCCUCGGCGGGUUCGCCCGCCGAUUGGACAAUUUAAACCAUUUGCAGUUGCAAUCAGCGUCUGAAAAAACAUAAUAGUUACAACUUUCAACAACGGAUCUCUUGGUUCUGGCAUCGAUGAAGAACGCAGCGAAAUGCGAUAAGUAGUGUGAAUUGCAGAAUUCAGUGAAUCAUCGAAUCUUUGAACGCACAUUGCGCCCCUUGGUAUUCCAUGGGGCAUGCCUGUUCGAGCGUCAUUUGUACCUUCAAGCUCUGCUUGGUGUUGGGUGUUUGUCUCGCCUCUGCGUGUAGACUCGCCUCAAAACAAUUGGCAGCCGGCGUAUUGAUUUCGGAGCGCAGUACAUCUCGCGCUUUGCACUCAGAACGACGACGUCCAAAAGUACAUUUUUACACUCUUGACCUCGGAUCAGGUAGGGAUACCCGCUGAACUUAAGCAUAUCAAUAAGCGGAGGA
rnacentral:rRNA from 2 species